CAGUCUAUAAAAUUGAAGGCAAGGAUGAGCAUUUAUGACCCAGUCUGGAGUAUGCCCUCACUAGUCAAGUUUUCUAUUACGCCGUCGCUAGUCAAGUUUUCUUUUGCAGGAAAUCAUUAUUUUUCUCCCUCUUCCCAUCCCCUAUCUCCCUCUAUCAUUCCCAACCUGCUUUCCCACGCGUCGUACCAUCCGCUAUUUUUCUCCCAAUGAGAGAUAUCUCUCUUGUGCAGGCGGGUCUCUCUUUCAGGCGUCUCUCUGUCAGAGAACUUUGAAGGAAUUCCAGAAACGCAGAGAGAAAAGGCAUGAACCCUAAUUCCCAAAAUGAGACCGGAAGAAGAAGAUAAGGAUGAUGCAGAAACGCAGAGAGAAAAGGCAUGAACCCUAAUUCCCAAAAUGAUACUGGAAGAAGAAGAUAAGGACGAUGCAGAAACGCAGAGAGAAAACGCAUGAACCCUAUUUCCCAAAAUGAGACCGGAAGAAGAAGAUAAGGAUGAUGCAGAAUUACGGAGUUACAUGCAUUAUUUAUUUGCAGAAGUAGAAGAGGGCCGAUCCCAAAAACUAACCCUAGAUCGUUCACAAAGGGAAGUUAACCUCCCGUUAUGUAAAAGAUUCCACGAAACUUUUGAAAUGGAGGACAGUUGUACGUUAUUUGAGGCCACACAUAUCUCAGUUCCCAGGGUUGAACUUCCUUGUGGAAAUGAGACGCUCACAACUCUAGAUUUCAGAACUUCACUCGAAACCCUAAAAUUCAAAAGCCUUCAAUUAAAGGCGAGGAAGGGGCCAGUGAUGAAAGAGAACAACCCAGCAUGGAGUAAUGCAGCAAAGAUGACGGCUGAGUCCAGAGAAAAGAAGCGUGGUUUGGGGGGAGUUGCUAAAGGUUAGAAUCUCACCCGUUUAAAGAGAGAAAAAUAUUGGGCUGCAUCGGGGGAGGAGAGAGAGAAACGGGAAUUCACCCACGUGUGGAUUGUUUUGCCUGCAUUUCUCAAUAUAAGUCAAAAUAUAGGGGUUUGAUUUCAUUGAUUAAUGUGGACAUUACAACGGCACACUUCUUCACUGCGGGCGAUACACGUACACAAGCAUGAGCAAAACUAUCACAAACACCCCUGCUACCUCUACCAUAAUAAGGCUAUUGUUGCUAUUUACCGAAGAAAGAAUGGGAAAUGAUUAUGUAACCGUUGCAUUAUAAUACGAUGCAACGGCAUGUUGGCAUAAUUUAAGCCAUUAGAUCAACUACAAUCUACUUUCUUCUUUCAAUUCCUCUCCUUCAAACAAUGAUUUGAAUGAAGAUUAAAGGUCAACCUUUUACUUUGUUUUUAUUUUUUUAUUUUAACUUUUUUUUAGAUCCCAGGUUCAGCCCUCUCUCUGUAUAUAUAGAUCUCUCGCACAGUUCCUUUUUUGACCCCAAUGCUUGGAAUCCUUCUCUAUCAGCUCCCUAUGUUGUUCUGUCAUCCUUCUGUAGGUUAUCUUGCUCUUCCCUCUUUCUCUACUCCCUUUCUAAGGAUCUCUUUCACUCUACUGAGGUCUCUCGAAGAUUAGCUCUAUUAGUUGGGUCUUUUUAUGCUCUAUGAAUGGGAGUUUUUGGUGCUCUAUAAAUGGGGCUUCUUCAGAUCGUUGGAUCACGUUUUUCUUCUUUGAAGAGUCUUGGAAGGCUUGCUGCUCAAACCAUCUUUCCAUCUCAAUCUCCAUUGCAUAGAAGACUUUAUAGAUCAGGAUAGCCCUGAAAAUUGGAAGGAAGGCAAUUCCUGAGUCAAGUCAGGUAGCGGUCAUGAUAAGAGGAAUUGCCCAACUCUGAGGGCUGGACUGAAUACCAAAGAAUGCAAAUCAAAAGCUUCUUAAAUUGACUCCUUUCUUGAAUCCAUCAUUUUCAAUUGUUAAUAAAUUUGUAAUUGUUCUCUCUAUGUUCUGUUUGUAACAUAAUCAAGUGGCACACAUGCUCCCCAUGUUUGAAGAGUCCCCAUGUUUGAAGAGUAUUGGAGAAGUUGCAUUGUUAGUUACCGAUAAUUAAGUUUUACUGCAUUAUUAACUAUAUUCUUGUAAACUGAUUUUGUAACCGCAAGUGUAAAAUCCCAUUGCAUG